ACAUAAGCAAUUUAAUAACUGCUGUGACUGUAUACCAACAUAAGUUAGGUCGACAUAAUUUUUAGUGUAGACAUAGCCGGGCACUAGCAAGGGAUU